AUACGUAGGGAGCGAGCGUUGUCCGGAAUUACUGGGUGUAAAGGGAGCGUAGGCGGGAGUGCAAGUCAGAUGUGAAAUACAUGGGCUCAACCCAUGGGCUGCAUUUGAAACUGCAUUUCUUGAGGGAAGUAGAGGUAAGCGGAAUUCCUGGUGUAGCGGUGAAAUGCGUAGAUAUCAGGAGGAACACCGGUGGCGAAGGCGGCUUACUGGGCUUUUACUGACGCUGAGGCUCGAAAGCGUGGGGAGCAAACAGGAUUAGAUACCCUGGUAGUCCACGCUGUAAACGAUGAUUACUAGGUGUGGGGGGACUGACCCCUUCCGUGCCGCAGUUAACACAAUAAGUAAUCCACCUGGGGAGUACGGCCGCAAGGUUGAAACUCAAAUGAAUUGACG
rnacentral:rRNA from 1 species